AUUCGUCACUUCAGUGAAUCAGCACAAUAAGACAACACGUUUAAUUGAAAUCAGAGAACCAUACAGUUGCAAAAAAAUGGCUUCUGCUGCAGGAUCACACAAAGAAACUGAUUUGGACAUCAAGGCGCGAAGAGCAAUGGAACGCGUUUCGGAAAACAUGCACGUUGUAGCCAAUGAACCCAGCUUGGCUUUGUACCGCCUUCAAGAACAUGUCCGAAAAGCGCUACCCUUUAUGGUGGAGAAACGCAUUGAAUUUGGACAACUCCACGAGCAACUGCAGGGACGAUGCUACGACGCUGACUACGCCGUCAGUGCCGUCAAUGAGAUUACCAAGGCCAAGGAUCCUUUUGAAGCUUGUGCGGCAUCGUUGAAAAACGCAAUCUUUUAUCGACAACAGCUGCGCUAUCGUGACUCGCGAAAUUUGGCCAAUUUGUCCCCAUUGAGUUGACUGCCUGAUUGUCCGGAGAGUCCAAAUUUUUUUUUUUCCGGUACAAAAAUAUCUGUUCUUGUUAACAAAAGAAGAGCCAAUCCAUGUACAAGCGCUUCUCAGCGUCGGAGCCGUCGACGGAUAGCGAAUUACCACCGCCCGGACCAACCAGGCCGCAAAGCAGUAUUUAUCAGUCGUGAAUUCUACUUCUUUGACCACAUUUUACACCUGAUUAUUUGGUUGGUUCGACAAGAGAAUACCAACUGCUUCACCGCCCACCACAAGGAUGUAAAACUUUAUACACUUGACUUGUAACGAAUAUUAAAUACGACUAACCUUCGACUAUA